rnacentral:rRNA from 1 species
GAUGAACGCUGGCGGCGUGCCUAAUACAUGCAAGUCGAGCGAACAGACGAGGAGCUUGCUCCUCUGACGUUAGCGGCGGACGGGUGAGUAACACGUGGAUAACCUACCUAUAAGACUGGGAUAACUUCGGGAAACCGGCGCUAAUACCGGAUAAUAUAUUGAACCGCAUGGUUCAAUAGUGAAAGACGGUUUUGCUGUCACUUAUAGCUGGAUCCGCGCCGCAUUAGCUGGUUGGUAAGGUAACGGCUUACCAAGGCAACGAUGCGUAGCCGACGGGAGAGGGUGAUCGCCCACACGGGAGCGUAGACACGGUCCAGAGUCCUGCGGGAGGCAGCAGUAGGGAAUCUUCCGCAAUGGGCGAAAGCCUGACGGAGCAACGCCGCGUGAGUGAUGAAGGUCUUCGGAGCGUAAAACUCUGUUAUUAGGGAAGAACAAAUGUGUAAGGAACUAUGCACGUCGUGACGGUACCUAAUCAGAAAGCCACGGCUAACUACGUG